AGUAUUUCAAUAAUUUGCUUUAAUAUUUGUAUUGUUCUACAGUUUGUUUAAUGAAUUAAUGAUUUCUUCUUAACAAAAUAACAGUUGUUUUAAUAUCGUUAGUGUUAUAUAAUUUGUGGAGUUGUUCUCAAUAUAGUCUUGAAAUAUUAAAUAAAUUAGGAGAAGGCACGUCAACAAUUGGAAACUUUUUCAGAAGUAUAAAU